rnacentral:lncRNA from 1 species
UUAAAUCAAAUGAAGAAGUAUUCGUUAACACAAAAAAAUAAGAAAUAUUAGCAUAGUAAGGAGGGAAAGAGACAUAGAAAGAGUAGAUAACCUGAGAGAUAGGGAGAACUACCAAGAGACAACGCUGUCACAUAUGGAAAAGAAGUAUCGAAUUAAAUCUCUGUUGAAGAUGGUCUGAUUUUUCAAAAUCAAUCCCUACAAAUGAGGCCAAAUUGCCCUUGCAUUUGAUCUCAUCCGGCCCUUCAUUAUGUUUAUCCUCUAACCAAAAUAGAAAGCCAACAAAUAAAAUGGUCCAUGAUCAUCAUAAAAAAAGUGAAUUACGAACUACAUGAAAGGAUUAAAUGAAGGUUCAGUUAGCCUCACUAUAUUAGCAAGAAAGUGUGCAAGACUCUAGAAACCAGAAAACAGGCAAGAUUCUUGCUUCUCUUUCAACAACAACUGAACCAGUUGUUCCACAAUUACUAUAUCUGUAUGUUCUUCAUUUUCCCAU